rnacentral:lncRNA from 1 species
CUUCUUGAUGUGUAGGAAGCAAGAGCUUCACAGGUACAUCUUUUAAGGUUCUUCCCCAGGCCUGAAAGCUUAAGGAGAUGAAUAACUCCUCCCUUCUCAGGCCUGGUACCAAGGUGCAAAGCUACUUGCAGCAGCAGCGUGCGCCAGCAAGAUAGCAGAAGCAGGAAGAGAGCCAGCCGGAAGACAUGUACCUCUGAAGAUCAAGAAAGAGGCUAUCCAGAAGAGAACAGCAUCAGGGCACAUUGAGGCUCAGAAAUUUAUAUUCCAAGAAGAGGUGCACAGGAACAGAGCAGAUCCAAAGCAGACAACCACCUGGAAGCAGUCAUAACAACAGCAAUAGCAAAUCAAUGCUGAUAAAAGAAAUCAAGUACAGAGAGUUUUAAGGACAUUGUCCAAAGUUGUACAAGGGCACCAUUUUUAAAAGUUGACAACCUCCUGCAGGGAUGUUCUGAAAGACAGAGACAUCUUGUCGGAAUUAUGAAUGUCCUUGGUGGAUGAGGCAGAAAGAGUUGACUGUGUAGGACAUUCCUGACAAGUCCUCAGGAUUUGAAAUGACUCCAACACUAAGCAUUCACCUGGAGAUAACCUACAGAGAUACUCUGUGUUACCCACAACUAGUCUGUUGACUAAGUUGGUGAAUAUAUUUGGGAAAAGCCCAUGUGGAAGAAUGGAAGCCUGCAUUAUCUUUCUCAGAGACAGACAGGAAGGUGACUCUAUGGAAGACAUCAGCGAUAAACUAGGAAGGAGUGACACGGUAAGUGAAAAUAGAGAUAUGCAGUGUG